AGUUUCUUUGAGUACCUUGAGUUUGGUUCUUGCUUCUUGUGGCUUCCUGCUGUUUCCUGCUUGAGAAGGGAACUCUGUGUGGACUAUGUUUGAUACUUCUUGUGGGACUAAGCACAGUUCCAGCUUGGAUUAUAUCUGCGAUAGACUUUCUUGGACUUCUAUUUCAGGACAGAUAAGUAUAUUGCUGGGUGGUCGUCCACUCUAUUGACUUUGAACUAUAUUUGCAUCCACUUUAUUGACUUUGAACUCUAUUUGCUUGUGCUUACUUAUAUUCUACAAUAAACAGCUUGAUUGCUUAUAAGCUGGGUUCCAGUGUGGUUUUCAAGGUGUUCAUGCAGCCUUGGGGUGCAACAGGACCACACCCAGUGGAGUGUGGCUGUGUGUGUGUGUAUUAGCUUCUGCUCCUGCUUUUGGUUUCACUAUUGCUUUUGGAUUUCUCUUUUGGAAGAAGAGGCUGAAGAAGCCAUGCUCUUUGUAUUUUGCAAUGCUUCUUACAUCUUGAAAUGCUUACAAGGACUAUGGGAAAAGCCUCGCAAUCAAAAAAGGAUGAACAUAAUCUCCCAUUGGAGUCCAUUAGUAGUGUACCAUAUGUGGCCAGAGGCAAAAAUCUGACAGCAGAACUGAUUGCUCUCCAUGGACAAUGCUAGCUUUUUUAUCUUAUGUUUUGAGGACAAAACAUAUCUGAUUGGGAGGUUAAUGGAUUUCUGGCUGAAAAGAGGAUCUUUAAAAAAACACCAAAAAACUUCUGUCAAGACAAUUGAAAUAGAUAUGGAAGCAUCAACAUCCAAGAGGUAUGUAUUAUUGGUUUUAUGCAAUGAUUAAAAGGAUGCAGUUCCCAAAAACAGUCAAAAUAUAGAUUCAGUGCCAUAACUAUGAUUAGUGGGGCCCAAGGACAAGGUUAUGUUUGGGGCCCCUUUAAUUUUUAUUUUUUAUGAAUGUAUUUUUGUAAUUACAAUAUUUAAAAAACACUUUGUACAGUUGAUAAACUCUGCUGCUAGUUAUAAUAAUAUUUAUCUUACAUAAUAAAUAAUAAUAACCUUACACUAACCUUAUAUAAUUAGUCAAUAUACAGUGCAUUUUAAAGGAUUUUUAAAGAUUACACAGAUUUUUGGUGUACUCUAAACAUUACAAUGAGUUUGAAAUCUUAUCAAAUAAAGCUAAACUUAUUCUUCUGCCCUUUGCAACUGCUUAUUUAUGUGAAACAGGAUUCUCUGCAUACGUUUCUAUUAAAACAAAUACAGAUCAUGUCUCAAUGCAAAGAUUGCUAUUUGGUUGCAACAGUCCAAAAUUCAACCAGAUUUAGGACUUCAUCUCACUGAGGUCCUCAGGCUGAGCAACAGC
ensembl:lncRNA